rnacentral:ncRNA from 1 species
AAGAAGCGGGAGCGCACACCCGGUGCGCUGAGAGGACGGCUCGGGGCCGUCGACCGUAAGAACCUGACCGGGUAAUGCCGACGUAGGGAGAGAAGAAAUGACCGAU